rnacentral:rRNA from 1 species
AGUGAACGCUGGCGGUAGGCCUAACACAUGCAAGUCGAACGGCAGCACAGUAAGAGCUUGCUCUUACGGGUGGCGAGUGGCGGACGGGUGAGGAAUACAUCGGAAUCUACUUUUUCGUGGGGGAUAACGUAGGGAAACUUACGCUAAUACCGCAUACGACCUACGGGUGAAAGCAGGGGAUCUUCGGACCUUGCGCGAUUGAAUGAGCCGAUGUCGGAGUAGCUAGUUGGCGGGGUAAAGGCCCACCAAGGCGACGAACCGUAGCUGGUCUGAGAGGAUGAUCAGCCACACUGGAACUGAGACACGGUCCAGACUCCUACGGGAGGCAGCAGUGGGGAAUAUUGGACAAUGGGCGCAAGCCUGAUCCAGCCAUACCGCGUGGGUGAAGAAGGCCUUCGGGUUGUAAAGCCCUUUUGUUGGGAAAGAAAAGCAGCAGGUUAAUACCCCGCUGUUCUGACGGUACCCAAAGAAUAAGCACCGGCUAACUUCGUG